rnacentral:rRNA from 1 species
AGUGAACGCUGGCGGUAGGCCUAACACAUGCAAGUCGAACGGCAGCACAGUAAGAGCUUGCUCUUACGGGUGGCGAGUGGCGGACGGGUGAGGAAUACAUCGGAAUCUACUUUUUCGUGGGGGAUAACGUAGGGAAACUUACGCUAAUACCGCAUACGACCUACGGGUGAAAGCAGGGGAUCUUCGGACCUUGCGCGAUUGAAUGAGCCGAUGUCGGAUUAGCUAGUUGGCGGGGUAAAGGCCCACCAAGGCGACGAUCCGUAGCUGGUCUGAGAGGAUGAUCAGCCCCACUGGAAAUGAGACAAGGUCCAGAAUCAUAAGGGAAGCAGCAGUGGGGAAUAUUGGACAAUGGGAGCAAGCCUGAUCCAGACAUACCGCGUGGGUGAAGAAGGCCUUCGGGUUGUAAAGCCCUUUUGUUGGGAAAGAAAAGCAGCAGGUUAAUACCCCGCUGUUCUGACGGUACCAAAAGAAUAAGCACCGGCUAACUUCGUG